GAGCAACAUGGUGAGACCCCCAUCUCUACAAAAAAUUUUAAAAAUUAGCUGAGUAUGGUGGUGUGGACUUGUAGUCCCAGCUACUUGGGAGGCUGAGGUAGGAGGAUCACCUGAGCCCUAGGGAGGUUGAGCCUGUCUCCAAAACAUAAGAAGUUAUAAUUUGAUUUGAAGCACCAAAGGAGAAGUGGACCAAAUAAGCCCCGGCUCCGUGGGAACAGCGACUUCAGUUAGAAGCUGCAGUUCUCAGCUAGGCUGGGAGAGAGAGGCAUGGCCAGAAUCACCCCGGGAGCUAUUCACAGAAUAAACAUUUUUUUCUUUUUCUCUCCUCUCAAGAAUAUCAGACUCUAUUGGGGAACAUGGGGAAACAAUUACCAGGUGAUUCUGAUCCUCCCAUUGGGAACAUCUGCCCAAGAGGAACUCAGGCUGGGCACGGUGGCUCACACCUGUCAUCCCAGUGCUUUGGGAAGGGAGGUGGGAAGUUAAUUGCUACAUUAAAAGCUUAAAGGAAAUAUUUUAUUUCCUAUUAGUCUGUAUUCACGUGUCAGGGCUAUUUCCUGAUUUUUUUUUUUUUUUCUAGAAAAAGCCAUAACCAUUUAGUUGUUAUCAUGCCUAGCUUGCAUUUGCAUAACAUCUGAUAGUUUUUUCUGAAGUAUUUAGCCUAUAAAUUCAUAGUUGAUCUUCAUGGAAACCCCCUUUUUAGAGUGUUACAGCUUUCAGAUGAUCCAGAGGCCUAACCACAGAUGUGGCCUUGCCCACUGGUAAAGAGGUCCGACUGAGACAAGUAAAGGCUCAGGUGCCUCAGUGGGCGGUACAACAACUGAACACUGGAGGCUACUGCAGGUGUGUUGGGACAAGUGCCACAUCUCAAAUCAGGAGACUUGGGUUUGAAUCCUGGAUCUCCUGUUUCCCAGUUUUGUGACCCUUCAGUCACAGUUUCCUUACUGUCAGAAGAGUAACACCCCCAAGGGUUCUUGCCACCUGGCCCUGCUAGGCACUCAGUAGCAGACCUGAGGUUCCUAGAUGCCAGGUGUCUGAAGAUGACUAUGACACUCUCAAGGAGACUGGGCUAGUCAAGGAAAGCAGAUGCGGAAAUGGUGACGUGAUCAAGUGCUGUGGCUGCAUAUUAGAAGCAGUAGUUGAACAAAUGAUGUAGGGUUCCAGGCCAUGUCUGUCCUAACAGAACUGU
rnacentral:lncRNA from 1 species